AGCUUUGGAAGUGGCAGUAUCGUAGCCAAUGAGGUUUAUCCGAGGCGCGAUUAUUACUAAUUGGAAGACCUGCCUCAGCCUGGGUGGCAGGGUCUGGAUUUACACCUCAGGACAGCUAGCUCCACUGUCGGUGCUCUUUCUGCAAACCAAGGACUUGCUGUAAAAAGGCAGCCC
rnacentral:snRNA from 1 species